UACGUAGGUGGCGAGCGUUGUCCGGAUUUACUGGGCGUAAAGGGAGCGUAGGCGGACUUUUAAGUGAGAUGUGAAAUACUCGGGCUCAACUUGAGUGCUGCAUUUGAAACUGUUAUUCUAGAGUAUGGGAGAGGUAGGUGGAAUUCUUGGUGUAGGGGUAAAAUCCGUAGAGAUCAAGAGGAAUACUCAUUGCGAAGGCGACCUGCUAGAACAUAACUGACGCUGAUGCGCGAAAGCGUGGGGAGCAAACAGG
rnacentral:rRNA from 1 species